CGUUUAGGGAGGUUGAUAGCCAUCUCCCGGCUCCUUUUCCUGCUGACGUCAUCCCGCAUUUUCUACAGACACAAAUAAGGGAACGGCUCCUGGGAUAGUUUUCAGGCUGCCCAAGGUGGUGGGAGUGGAGGGAUCCUGCCCUCCUGGGUCCACUUCACUUAUGGAGUGUUUGGCAAAUUGUCCAAGGUUAAGGGAGAGGCAAGGAAAUAAAACACCUUAGCUAAGGUUAAAAACCAAAAAGAACUCGGUGACUGGAACUCAGGCCCAGAUCUGUCCUGGGCAUUUGCAAUGCAAAUCUGCGUUUUGUUCCCUGCCACUGACGGCUUGCACAAUAGCCUGUGUAUAAACAUACACGCCAACAAUGCCUGACUGUGCAAUCGCGCUGUAAUUACAGGCCGGCAGGAAGCUUGCUGCUAGGAACUGCACCAUGCAACCUCUAGCCAUCCCGAGUGUGGAGUCUCCACCGCACGGACGUACAUUCCUGCACACACCAACGCGUCCCGCCGCUGCUGUUACAGUGGCCCGAGAGCCACCCACCCGGCUCGCCAGUCCCCAGCCCCGGAGUACUUUGCAGGGAUGUCAUAAACUUCUCAACUGUUCUUAAAAACAAAGCAAAACCCUGAGCCACGAGGCUACCGAGAGCGGCGGGAACCACCAUCGAAGUUCCCCAGCACAUUCCUGCAGUCCCAGCAGUUUCAGAAACCAGAAACGAGCGACAGGCCACCGAGUCCAUUGGAAGCGGGUUUUGGAGUUUUGUAUAGAAACCACUCCUAUGUCUGCACGCUUAUCCGUCGUCACUCCCACGGUGCUAAGUGUGCAGGAUGGUUACCAUUUACGACACUUCAGGGGGCUAUUCAGCGACUGCAAAUGUUGAGGCUGCAAAAUGGUUUCCUCCCCUGCGGAUUUCCACCUCUUCCUUUACACUCAACACCGAGGAUCUCUUUGGGGCCUGAUGCAUUCCGUGUUUCAUCGCCAGCCGAAGGCUUAGAGGAGAGGAGGGAGUCCGGAGAAGAGGCGCUUCAGGCAAGAGUCAUUCUGAAAGUUAUCAUCGCCCAGAAUAAAUUUGCUCACCCCUGAGAACUACAACAAAAAGCCAUCUUUUUAUUUCUGAUAAACAGCAACAAAGUAGUUAAGCAGCAGUCUUGGGGGAUGAAUUCCUGAUCCAGUAAAGCUGGAGAGAAAAAACGGGGUUAGCCUUUGCUGUGGCUUUAAAACAACAACAGCAAAAACACCAGACAUUUGAAACUGCAGUGGAGGGCUUUCAUAACAGAAACAUUAGCUUCAUUGUAGCUUGUUGUGGAAAACAGGGACCUUUUUAAAGGUGGCUCAAAAGCAUCAUUUAGGGAAAAUCCACCAUUUUCCUUCCUCCCCCCUCUCCCCCCAAGUACUGCUUCUGCUAGCACAUUGGCUAGAUCACAGAACCUCAGGUUGCAAGGCUUCGUCUUUUCUACUGAAGUACAGGAAACCAUAGAGUUGAGUGAAGUCUUUGCCCAGAAAGGUGGAUGUGAAACUGAUGGAAAGUGGCAUCUGGGAAAUGAUCUGUAAGCCUGCCUUCACACCCAAUGGGAAACCACAAAGGCAGACUCACUCAAAGGCUGGGGAGCAUGAGAACCAGAGCUCUCCUAGCAACAGGAGAAUCCAUUUCCGGGCCUUUUCCAGCUUGCAGAAGCCACCCACAUUUCUUGGCUCGUGACCCCUUUUCUCCAACUUCAAAGCCUGACGUCUCUCUGGAUCAUUCUUCCAUAGCCACGUCUUCCCCUGACUGAUUCCUCUUCUGCCUCCCUUUUCCACUGUUAAGGAUCUUUGUGAUUACAUGGGUCCACCCUGAAAAUCCAGGAUAAUCUAUUUUCAGAUCAGCUCAUUAGCAACCUUAAGUCUAUCUUACCCUUAAUUCCCCUUUAUCGUGUAACCUAAUAUAGUCACAGGUUCUGGGGAUUAGGACGGGGACAUUUUGUGGAGGACUGUUCUUCUGUCUGCCGUAGCCCCUUCCUGAAUUACAUUUGGGCAAUCGGACGUAAGUCAAUGCAGAGACGUGCUCAAUGACUGUCUUCCUAGCUGGCCUGUGUGGAGGGGUCACUGAGACUCCAGGAAGAAAUCCAGUCCUACCAACACCUUCAUUUUAGCCUGUAAAAUAAAAAGCUGUUUAUUUUUCA